GUAGGUGGCAAGCGUUGUCCGGAAUUAUUGGGGCGUAAAGCGCGCGCAGGCGGUUCUUUAAGUCUGAUGUGAAAGCCCAUGGGCUCAACCGUGGAGGGUCAUUGGAAACUGGAGAACUUGAGUACAGAAGAGGAAAGCGGAAUUCCACGUGUAGCGGUGAAAUGCGUAGAGAUGUGGAGGAACACCAGUGGCGAAGGCGGCUUUCUGGUCUGUAACUGACGCUGAGGCGCGAAAGCGUGGGGAGCAAACAGGAUUAGAUACCCUGGUAGUCCACGCCGUAAACGAUGAGUGCUAAGUGUUAGGGGGUUUCCGCCCCUUAGUGCUGCAGCUAACGCAUUAAGCACUCCGCCUGGGGAGUACGGCCGCAAAGGCUG
rnacentral:rRNA from 1 species